CAAAUUUAAAAUCUACCUGGUUUCCAGGUCGAGUUGUAAUUUGAAGAUACGUUUUUGACGUUCCGGGUUGAACUAAAUCCUUUGGGAUAAGGUAUCAUGGAGGGUGAGAAUCCCGUAUAUACCAACCRUAGGGAUGUUAUUUAAUACSUUUCUAAGAGUCGAGUUGUUUGGGAAUGCAGCUCUAAAUGGGUGGUAAAUUUCACCUAAUGCUAAAUAUAAGCGAGAGACCGAUAGCGAACAAGUACAGUGAUGGAAAGAUGAAAAGAACUUUGAAAAGAGAGUUAAAUAGUAYGUGAAAUUGUUGAAAGGGAAACGAUUGAAGUCAGUCMUGCCMGUGGGAAUCAACUUWGAGGAAACUCUGAGUGCACUUCUUCRCUUGGCAGGUCAACGUYGAUUUUGGAUGUCAUAAAAUGAUUGGGGGAAGGUAGCYCYYUCGGGAGUGUUAUAGCCCUUGGUAGAUGUGAUGUCUGGGAUCGAGGAUUGCAAUGGAUACCCUUUGGGGCUAGCCGCCUGAUCUCUAAUYGGUAUUGGGUUACGGAUAGCAUGCUGACCGUGAUCUAAUUAUUGGUUAAA
rnacentral:rRNA from 1 species